rnacentral:rRNA from 1 species
CCUACGGGAGGCAGCAGUGGGGAAUAUUGGGCAAUGGGCGCAAGCCUGACCCAGCAACGCCGCGUGAUGGAAGAAGGCUUUCGGGUUGUAAACUUCUUUUAAGAGGGAAGAGCAGAAGACGGUACCUCUUGAAUAAGCCACGGCUAACUACGUGCCAUCAGCCGCGGUAAUACGUAGGUGGCAAGCGUUGUCCGGAUGUACUGGGUGGAAAGGGCGUGAAGCCGGGAAGACAAGUCAGAUGUGAAAUCCCGCGGCUCAACCGCGGAAGUGCAUUUGAAACUGUUUGUCGUGAGUACCGGAGUGGUGAUCGGAAUUCCUUGUGUAGGGGUGAAAUGCGUAGAUAUAAGGAAGAACACCAGUGGCGAAGGCGGAUGACUGGACGGCAACUGACGGUGAGGCGCGAAAGCGUGGGGAGCAAACAGGAUUAGAUACCCCAGUAGUC